rnacentral:rRNA from 1 species
CUUUUGUCGUGGCCGGACCGGCGCACGGGUGAGUAACACGUACCCAACCUCCCCUUUACUCGGGGAUACCCUUACGAAAGAAAGAUUAAUACCCGAUAGCAUAAUGAUUCCGCAUGGUUUCAUUAUUAAAGGAUUCCGGUAAAGGAUGGGGAUGCGUUCCAUUAGGUUGUUGGUGAGGUAACGGCUCACCAAGCCUUCGAUGGAUAGGGGUUCUGAGAGGAAGGUCCCCCACAUUGGAACUGAGACACGGUCCAA